rnacentral:rRNA from 1 species
AACGAACGCUGGCGGCAGGCCUAACACAUGCAAGUCGAACGAAGUCUUCGGACUUAGUGGCGCACGGGUGAGUAACACGUGGGAAUAUACCUUACGCUGGGGGAUAACAUCGGGAAACUGAUGCUAAUACCGCAUACGCCCUUCGGGGGAAAGAUUUAUCGGCGAAAGAUUAGCCCGCGUCCGAUUAGCUAGUUGGUGAGGUAAUGGCUCACCAAGGCUCCGAUCGGUAGCUGGUCUGAGAGGAUGACCAGCCACACUGGGACUGAGACACGGCCCAGACUCCUACGGGAGGCAGCAGUGGGGAAUAUCGGACAAUGGGCGCAAGCCUGAUCCAGCCAUGCCGCGUGAGUGAUGAAGGCCUUAGGGUUGUAAAGCUCUUUCACCCACGACGAUGAUGACGGUAGUGGGAGAAGAAGCCCCGGCUAACUUCGUG